UUUUAGUGGUGCCCUUGUCGCCAUGUCUUGACUUGUUUGGGGCUCUUGUUCAUUGCAGUUCCAUAACCUUCAUCGCUUGGGCCACAGUUGGAAGAGCUCCUUUCUUUCUGGCUGUUGGGCAUGGCAGAGGAAGUUCUGCAUCAGUUUGGUUUCGUGGAUAGAGUUUUCUACCUAUUGUUUUUCUUUCAUAUUGUUGGAACCUCAUUCUUGAAGUUCAACGUGUAAGGGGUUGUAUUCAUCUGCUGCCGUUGUGAUCCACUAUUAAACAGCACCUCAGAUGACAUUGAUUUAUCGAGAAAAGUGGCGUGUUUUGGUGAUACUAAGCGUAGAUUUUGCACGGCCCGUGUGAUGCGUGACAUGUUUUAGUCCCUGGAAAAAACCGCACACAACGCCAGCAGAAGCUGCAUCCUCCAUCGUUAAAGUAUAUACUCCGCAUCAAUUGGGUAUGAGUACACUGCAUCUUGUCUCACCGCUCCACAUGCCAUUCAUCGUGCGUUAGACGACUCUACUGUCCUCGUCCAGGACGAACUAGCAGCUUCUCUCAUGCGUGUCCCCUCAUCCGCAUUCUCGUGGCCGCUUCUCAACACGUAGGCGGACUGUCACGGACACGCGCCACCUCCAGUAUCACACGUGUAUGCAUGAGCCUACCCACGCCUUAAAAUUAGCUGACGCCGCGUCUCUCCCCUCCUCUCCUCUCCACCAUACUCUAGCGCUUUCCCGAACACAAAACUCGCACAGCAUCGAAGAUGGCGGCCUCGUGCCACGACGUGGACGUGCCGGGGAAGCCGACGGAGACGGGGACGGCGCUGCUGGAGACGGCGACGGGCGCCAUCCAGGGGUUCGCCCCGAUCAACCAGAUCCACCAGCACCUCUGCGCCUUCCACUUCUACGGGGACGACAUGACGCGGCAGGUGGAGGCGCACCACUUCUGCGCGCACCUCAACGAGGACGUGCGGCAGUGCCUCAUCUUCGACGGGCCGGAGGCCGGCGCGCGCCUCAUCGGCCUCGAGUACAUCGUCACCGGGGAGCUGUUCCUCACGCUGCCCGACGAGGAGAAGCCGCUGUGGCACACCCACGAGUUCGAGGUCAAGGGCGGCGUGCUCUUCAUGCCCGGCGUGCCCGGCGUCGUCGAGCGCCGCGACCUCGAGGUCGUCGCCAGGACCUACGGCAAGACCGUCCACUUCUGGCAGGUCGACCGCGGCGACGCCCUCCCGCUCGGCCUCCCGCAGAUCAUGAUGGCGCUCACCCGCGAGGGCCAGCUCCGGCAGGAUCUCGCCGACUGUAAGCGCGCGGCGCCGAGUUCACCGUGAUUUCCUUUUUGGUUUCUUGGUUCGUGCACCGAGUGUCGUGUCGGCUUACUGAUGAUUGUAACGUGGGUGCAGGUGUGGAGAAGAAGUUCAGCGUGUCGUUCCACAAGGAGAGGGAGAACAGGGCGUACAUGAGCGGCCCGGCGCACGGCAUCCACCCGCUGGCCAAUGCGGCUGGGAAGGGCUUGAAGACAGAGAUCCGCGAGGUCGAUCUUCCGGCUGCCAAUACCGGAGCCAGGAUUUUCACCUGAUCUGCCCUUGGCGUGCGUACGUGUCCGCGAGAUGGGUGUAUGAUAGCCGGAGAUAUAUAGGGUAGUUAAUAAAAUGUCUCCCACCCUUUGUUUUUCCUCUUGGAAAUGGAGUGAGUGCUCGAAGAAUUGACUUUCGAAAAACAGUAUAGGCAGUGGCGGAGCGAGGAACCGGAUGUAGAGUUAGAAGGAAUCAAAUGAAUCAACAACCUCUUUAUAAGAGCCAAACCAUAUUCUACUAAGAUUUUCCCUACAUUUCCAGAGAUUAUUUAGAAGAUAAACAAGCACUCGGCGAGAACAACAUCUGUUUUCAUAUUUUUAUAAGAAGCUGAAACUAAUACAGAACCCCGCAAACAAAUACUUCCUCCGUCCGCUUUUUGACAUUGUACUCCUUCUAUAAACUAAUAUAAGAGCGUUUAGAUCACUAAAUAGUGAUCUAAUAUAUUAGUUUACAUAAGAACGUUUAGAUCACUAAAGUAGUAACCCAAACGCUCUUAUAUUAGUUUACGGAGGGAGUACUACUGAAAACAACAAAUACUACUGAAAACAACAAAUACAACAAAUACUACUGAAAAUGAAUACAUACUACUGAAAAUGAAUACAUAAACCUUCUGCACAACAAUACUAGUGAAAACUAAUACAGAACCCUGGAAACAAAUCUUCCGAAAACAUGUACUUAAGGAAACAACAAAUAACCUUAUGCACAACAAGGAUCCGGCUUGCCUGCUUUCAUUCGUAUUCCUACUUCAUCCUGUGACUGUCUUUUUUUUUCUAAUCUAAUCAUCUUUCCUCUGAUUUUAAAGGGAUGGGGUCGGACCUUAUUUUGUUUCAAUCAAAACAAGCCAUAUACGCGGAAGUACAGAUGGGCACACGCAAGGGGAGCAGGCAAGUCUCGUUCACACAACAAUACUACUGAAAACAUGUACUUAAGGAAACAACAAAUAACUUUAUGCACAACAAUACUACUGACAAUAAAUACAGAAACCUUCUUCACAAAGUGAAACGAAUACAGAAACCCCCAAAACAAUAUAUAAUUACUUCCUUUGUUUUUCAAUAUUUGUCUUUUUACAAAUUUUAAAUGGCUACACAUACGGAUAUAUAUAGAUAUAUUUUAAGUGUAGAUGUCCAUACAGAUAUAUAUAGAUGUCCAUACAGAUAUAUAUAUAUAGACAUAUUUUAAAUAUAGAUUCAUUCAUUUUAUUUUGUAUGUAGUCACUCGCUGAAGGACAAAUAUUUAGAGAAAAAAAUAAACAUUUAGGAACGGAAGGAGUACUAUCGAAGAAAAACAAAGUAACAAGUACUAUCGGAAGAAAACAAAGCAAAUACGACAAAAAAAAGGAGAAAACCAAUACAAUAUUCAACUUUCGCAACACAAACACUUGAAGGCAUUUUUGAGAAACCACACUUUGAAGGCAUCGAACAACAAAAAACAAUGAACACAAAACCAUGGCAUAACAGUGUUAGGUCAAAUCGUAAAUAGUGCUCUAGUGACGAUACUCACGGUAAUACUAGUUAGCUCACACAUGGGCCAGCAUGUAAUAGCUGGCUAACAUAUGGGCCAUAACAAGUGCGGAGAAGAGAGAAAUUAUAUUUAUUUAAAAGUUGAUUUUUUUGGAUAAUAUGUCACAUCAUAUUUUUAGGGAUUGCUAAUUAUUGAACGGAAUUGUUAGUUAUUAAAGAUAAAACUAACAAAUAUUCAUUGUAGGUAGUUUUUAAUGUUAUCUUUAAAUUACACAAGUUAUAUGUAAGACUUAAGAUAAGAUUAGCUUAUCAACCAUGGUACAUGUCAAGGCUUAAUUUUCCUCUUAACACAAUAUGUCUCAGCUCUGCGCUCUUAGCUAUGUCUCAUCAUAUUUUUAGAAAUAAAAUUAAUUAUUAAAGAUAAAAUUAAAAAAUACCUCAUUAUAGACCUAUUUUUAUUGCCAUUUAUAAAUUACAUGCAAGACUUAAGAUAAAAUUAUAUCAUAUACACAUAUUCAAAAUGAAAAAUCUGGUUCCAGGGAAACUAGAAUUGAAUUGAAAUUUUGUUUCCAUGCUUGUUCUACGAGAAAUAUCGUUCUUUUUUUAUAUAUAUUUUGGUAAGUAUUCUGGCUUCUAUCCUCUAAUUUUUUUUAAUUUCCAUUUUUUCUCUCAGUUUCCUUUUUUCCACCGGAACACAUUUUCAAAUAAAUGAUAACAUUUUCCAAAUGCACAUUGUACAUUUUUUAAUGGCAAUACAUACUUGUUUAAAGUAUGCGCACAUCUUUUUAUAUUGCAUAGGCAGUGCAAGGACAUUUUCUGGAACAUGAAUAUUUCCUGAAAAUGUCAUGUCCAUUUUUAAUAGAAAUAAAUUUUCUUUUUUACCUACUCAAACAUUUCUUACAUUGUAUCAUUCUUUUAAGAAAUUCACAAAUAUAUUUCUGAAUAAACAAUUUUUUGAAUCUAUUAAGAAAAAUACAUGAUAUUUCCAAAGCUAGGGAGCCACUGAUUUUUCUGGAUCCGGUUAUUUUGUAGCUAGAGCCUGAGGCCCAGCUGGCGUACUCGUAUCCAUUGGAGAGCUAAAUGGGCCGUCGGCUUGCUGGACAUUUUUGCGCCAAUUCACCAAAAAAGGCGUGCAAUAGGAGCUUCUACCGAAAUUACUAGUUAUAAGGGUUACCCUAAGCAAAGGUCACUCCCACCUUCUCAAGGUCACUCCCACCUUCUCACGCGCUGAUAAAUGACACAUUGUAUGUACGUCACUUGCUGGAACCUAGUUUUAUCUUUUAAACCACGCGUCUAAAUCUUAAACCGUUUUUAAUGUUGGAUUUCUCGCAUCGAGAUCUUCAAAACUAUAUCCCAUAUUAAUAGGUUUGAACAAACUUCUCUUCAUGAAUAAAACUGGAAACCCAAAAAAUCCAAAAAAGGUACAAUACAAAAGAAAUAUAAAAUUAUGAAAAACCAGAAAAAAAAUAGCAACAAUAGAAAUGAAUGACAAAAAAGGAAGAAAAAAGGGAGUCAGAAGCACUUUUUUUCUUCAUGUUUUUACCCUCUCCGAGAAUCACAUAUCUGUUUCUCGCGGAAGCAAAUCUGUGCUUUUCGUUAAAGCACAGUUUUCUUCCCGAGAAACACAACCGCACUUUCACGCAAGCAAAUUUGUGCCUACACGAGAAGCAAAACUAUGCCGCUCGUGGAAGCAGGAAAAAACCCACACAUUAAUGUUGUAAACUUUUCCUUGUCUGAGAAACACAACUGUAUUUCUUGCGAAAGUAAGUUCGUGCCUCCAUAAAAAACAAAUAUGAGCUUCUUCUGGAAGCACAAAAAAAUCGCACACAAAUUUCUCUCUCUUUCUCUCUCUCCAAAACCUAGGGAAAACUGGAUGAAAACCGAAAAGCCAAAAAAAACCAAGAAAAAAUCUAUCUAAAACCCAAAAACAUGUACAGAUUUUUUUUUAGAAGAAGCACCCAUUACGAGACAUGUGACAGGGGCUGGAGACACCACUUGGCAUGCUCUAAGAGCACUAAAUAUGACAGCUGGAGGUCCCCCAUAAGGGGUAACCUCCAGUUAGUUGCUCUCUGCUUCCACAAUUUUUUUUGAAACAACUCUGCUUCCACAAUUGUUCACUAGUAGUCUCGUGUUGGCACAGCGCGGCUGUGUGCUGCCUACAACGAUUCCAAGCAUAGGGUUACCUGUAGAGAGCCAUUGCUGGGCCGGUCCAGUAACCAUGUGGCUGCAUCAUGCUGAGGUCACACGUUUAAAAAAAAUGCAUGUGAUGACACUUCAAAAAUAUAUUCAUACAAUGAAAAAAAUGGUCAGGUAAUAAAAACAAAUGUUUCAUACAUUUUUUUGCAUUCACGAGUUUCAAAAAUGUGUAUACAAUGUACUUUUUUUUGUGUAAUGUAAAAUAUAUAUUUUUUAACAUUAAAAAAUACACAUGACAUUUUAAAAAGGGUUUUACAGUGUAAUUUUUCUGGUAGGUAAAAAAUGUUUAGUUCUUUAAAAAAAUAUAGUUGACAUUUUAAAGAAAUAUUUAUGUGUUUUCCAAAAAAGGAUUGCGAAACUUUUAAAACAUUUAUACAAAAAAAAAUCUUUACGUAGUUUUAGAAAGUUCCAUGCCAUUAAAGUAUUUACAACAUGUAUUUGAAAAAUGUUACCAUGUAUCCGAGAAUGCAUUCAAAAUAUGUAUUUAAAGAAAUGCACAUCAUGACAAAAAUGAUCAUGUAUUUGAAAAACAUCUAACAUGUAUCAAAAAGAUAUUUCAUGUGUUCUCUAAAUUUUACAUUGUUUACUCUGAAAAAGCAGAUAUGUGUUAAAAAAGUUAAAAAUAAGAAAAAAGAUAAAAAAAAACUGACAAAGAAACAAAGAAAAGCAAAGUAUAACAAAGAAAAAUAGAAGAAAACCGAUGAAAACAAAGAAAAAACAAAAGACAAUGACAAAUAAAAAACUGUAGAAAGCCGGAGCAGAGCGAACCUACAACGACACGGUCGACGAGUGCUAAUAGGCCGACCCAAUAGUCGCUCACCCAUAGGCGAUUCCUGAUAGGAAUUGGUACAGGCGAGACAUAGCUCUUGCGGUGUUGGCGCUGCGUUUACAGGUUUUGUAAUACAUUUGUCGUUAAUCUGUUGCACAAUUUUCUAUCCCCUAUCAAAUGGGCCCACCCAGUCUCAAACAACCCCGAUUUACUAGAAGAGCUCCAAUUCUUGGGAGCUUAGUAACUUUACUACAGGUUAAUGCGUGCUUCGGUGCAUCAUUCUUCACUUGUGGAAUUAACUCUUUUUUUCUCUAGCAGGUUAUUGUGGUUGGGUUUUUUCUUUUGGAUUAUCUAUAUUGGCUUAGGUUUUAAUUAUGUUCUGAUGCUGUAUUUUUCAUUCGUAUAUCUUGUUGUGCUACUGUUAUAGACGCUAUUUUUUCGGAGAGAAAAGCGGAGUUGUUCGGUGCGUGGCGCUGGCCUUACACACUUCUGUCUCGGUGUUAGUCGAUGGCGAUUGUGUGAGCCCCUUGGAAGCUCUUAUUUCACGGUCAAAUCGUGAAAUUGUUAAUAUAACACUUAAAUGGCUGGCCCGUGAAGCCCUCCCUCGCUCAGUUUGGCUUUCUGAGGAGGGCGUUCAAGCUACUUACCGAGGAGGGUGUUUAAAACCAUGUUGCGCAAUAGGUCUCCAAACCAAAAAGCGAUGUCCCUAAGCAUAUUGAAAGCCUAGGACCCGUAUUUUUUGUCCUGCCCGACGAGGACAAAGAGUGUCUUUUUCGCUUUGGACCUUUCACGGUAGACCUCGACCUAAGACACUUUUGUGGGAGGAUAAGUGGUCACGAAACACUACUCUCCAAAAAUAGUAUCCAUCCAUGUACCGUAUUUUCCGCGAUAAGAAUGAUACUCUUGCGCACGUGCUCAACUCCACCCCGCCGGAUGUAUCAUUUAGGCGGGAUUUGGUUGGCCCCUGUCUUGUGUCAUGGCAACAUGUGUUAUCCUGUUUGGAAUUAGCUAACCUAACACAAGGAUAGAAUGUGUUUCUUGGAAUCUCACUACAUCUGAUUAUGUACCUUGCCUUCAUGCACUCAAACAUUUCAGUGGGUAAUAAUAAACAAAUAUAGAAAUCAAAGAUACCAUUAAAAGUUAAGAUUUUCAUGUGGUAUCUUCGAAGGGGAGUUGUGCUCACUAAAGACAACCUCACUCAUCGCAACUGCAAGGAAGCAAGAAGUGUAGCUUUUGUAUCAAAAAUUAAACACCUCUUCUUGCAAUGCAAGUUUGCGUGUUCUACAUGGUCAGUCAUCCAAACAACGUUCAAUUUGUAUCCACUCAUAAGUGUUGUCAAUGUAUAUAGCCCCUCACUUCAUGAAAUAUCUGAUAGGUUUAACACUCUAGCGAUGGUGAUAUCAUCUAUCUUAUUGUGGUCGCUCUGGCUAUGUAGAACUGAUAUUACUUUUUAAUGGCAAAAAACUCUCCUUUGCAAGUUACUUUCUGUUGUAUAUAAUGGCCUUGUACGCGAUCUAUGCUACUUCAAACGGAGUCCCAAUCGCUAUUCAAGAUGAUGUGUAUGUGGUUGAACCGGAUAGCCAGAAGUUUUUUUACCAACAUGGGCGGCAGCAUAAUCUUCGGAUCGGUCCACCUCCUCCUUCGACAUAAGCAUAUUGUCGGUCUCUAUGACUUUAUUGCUGCCAUCGUAUCUUUUUAUUUCAUUUGUUGUGUACAUCGUAGCAAUGCGGAAGCUGGGUAUCACUCGGUGUGCUAUCCGCUUGAUAAUACAUUUUGAGUUAAUGAAACCGUCCUUUAUCAAAAAUAACUUAGCUCGUUUCUCUUUGCAAGGGAUGCCAAGUUUGGCCGUUAAACCUCCACGAUGCUUUAUAUAUGCCUGUAAACAUAUCUAGUUAAAUAUAAGGCAAAAAUUUCUCGAAAAAAGAGGGGAUAGGACAGACUGGUGUUCAUGAUGGGGUGAUGAUAUUUCUCAACUGUGAGAUGAUGAGAACGAGGUUCUCACCGCCCCAUUUUCGGAGAAGGAAGUGCUUGAGGCUAUUUCGUAAAUGAAAAAUAACAAAGCACCUGGUCCGGAUGGCUUCCCAGUAGUUUUAUAAGAAAUAUAGGGAUAUUUAUUAAAGGCGACUUGAUGCCUAUGUUCCUUGAUCUAUUUAAUGGUCAUUUACAAUUAUUUAAAUUGAACUUUGGAACGAUGACCUUGUUACCAAAGAAGGAGGAAGUGAUUCGCAUUGAGCAAUUCAGACCGAUUUGUUUGCUGAAUGUGAGGUUCAAGAUUUUUACUAAAGUGGGUAUGAAUCACCUGAGAAAGAUAUCACAUCUUGUUGUUCAGCGAAGCCAAACUGCUUUCAUGCUAGGACGCCACAUUCUCGAGGGAGUGGUCGUCCUACAUGAAACCUUGCACGAAAUCCAUUCGAAGAAACUCGAUGGAAUGGUCUUCAAAGUGGACUUUGACAAGGCUUAUGAUAAAGUGAAAUGGCCAUUCUUACAGCAGACUUUGCGUAUGAAAGGGUUUGAUCCGGCUUGGAGGAAGCAGGUCGAAUCAUUUGUACAGGAAGGCAGCGCUAGAAUCAAGGUUAAUGACGAUAUUGGUCAUUUCUUCCAGACGCAAAAAGGUCCAAGGGAGAUUCGAUGUCUCUGAUCUAAUUUAAUGUUGUCGUUGAUAUGUUGGCCGUUAUAAUCAACAGAGCGAAAGAGGACGCUGGGUAGGUGGUCUCAUCCCACAUUUGGUGGAUGGGGUGUAACCAUUGUACAAUAUGCAAACAACACUAUUAUUUUCAUGGAACAUGAUCUAGCUAAGGCAAGAAACAUGAAACUAGUUCUAUGCCUUUUUGAACAACUGUCCGGACUGAAGAUCAACUUUAAUAAGAGUGAGUAGUUCUAUUUUGGAUGUGCCAAAGAAUAACAAGAUCAUUAUAAAUAGUUGUUCGGCUGUGAACCAGGUUCUUUACCUUUUACUCACUUGGGGAUCCCAAUUCAUCAUCGCAAGCUCACUAAUAAAGAGUGGAAGUGUAUCGAAGAUUGAUUUGAAAACAAUUUGAGUUGCUGGAAGGGCAAACUCUUAUCUUAUGGAGGAAGACUGGUUCUGAUAAACUCGGUGCUCACUAGUAUGCCGAUGUUCCUCCUUUCCUUCUUUGAACUAAUAGUAGGGGUAAGGAAAAUAUUGGAUUUUUUUAUCAAUCUCGCUUCCUAUGGAAACUCGAUGAAAAUAAAACUAAAUAUAGGUUGGCCAAAUGAGACUUUAUCUGUAGACCAAAGGACCAAGGUGGCUUGUGUUGGGGAACGCAGCAAUUUCAAAAAAUUUCCUACGAUCACGCAAGAUCUAUCUAGGUGAUGCAUAGCAACGGGAGUGGAAAGUGUUGUCUACGUACCCUCGUAGACCGAAAGUGGAAGCGUUAUGACAACGCGGUUGAUGUAGUCGUAUGUCUUCACGAUUCGACCGAUCCUAGCACCGAAGGUACGACACCUCCGCGAUCUGCACACGUUAAGCCCGGUGACAUCCCAUGAACUCUAGAUCCAGCUGAGGUCGAGGGAGAGUUUCAUCAACACGAUGGAGUGUUGACGGUGAUUAUGAAGGUACCGGCGCAGGGCUUUGCCUAAGCACUACGAUGAUAUGACCGAGGUGGAAAUCUGUGGAGGGGGGCACCACACAGGGCUAAAAGAUCAACUUGAUCGAUUUGUGUCUCUAUGGGGUGCCCCCUCCCCUGUAUAUAAAGGAGUGGAGGAGGGGAGGGCCGACCCUCUAUGUCGCUCCCAAGGGGGGAGUCCUACUCCUAGUAGGAGUAGGUUCCCCCCCUUCCCUAGUUGGAGUAGGAGAAGAAGGAAGAGGGAGAGGGAGAGAAGGAAAGGGGGCCCGACCCCCUCCCAAUUCGGAUUGGGCUUGGGGGGGGGGCAUCUUGGCCUCCUCCUCCUCUCUUCCACCAUGGCCCAUUAAGGCCCAUUGACUCCCCGGGGGGUUCCGGUAACCUCCUGCUACUUCGAAAAAAUGCCCGAACCACUCGGAACCUUCCUGGUGUCCAAACAUAGCCUUCCAAUAUAUCAAUCUUUAUGUCUCGACCAUUUCGAGACUCCUCGUCAUGUCCGUGAUCACAUACAGGACUCCUAACAACCUUCGGUACAUCAAAACACAUAAACUCAUAAUAUCGAUCGUCAUCGAACGUUAAGCGUGCGGACCCUACGGGUUCGAGAACUAUGUAGAGAUGACCAAGACUCAUUUCCGGUCAAUAACCAAUAGCAGAACCUGGAUGCUCAUAUUGGUUCCUACAUAUUCUACGAAGAUCUUUAUCGGUCAAACCGCAUAACAACAUACGUUGUUCCCUUUGUCAUCGGUAUGUUACUUGCCCGAGAUUCGAUCGUCGGUAUCAUCAUACCUAGUUCAAUCUCAUUACCGGUAUGUCUCUUUACUCUUUCCGUAAUACUUCAUCCCGCAACUAACUCAUUAGUUACAAUGCUUGCAAGGCUUAUAGUGAUGAGUAUUACCGAGAGGGCCCAGAGAUACCUCUCCAAAACACGGAGUGACAAAUCCUAAUCUUGAUCUAUGCCAACCCAACAAACACCUUUAUAGACAUAUGUAGAGCACCUUUAUAAUCACCCAUUUACAUUGUGACAUUUGGUAGCAUACAAAGUGUUCCUCCGGUAUUCGGGAGUUGCAUAAUCUCAUAGUCCGAGGAACUUGUAUAAGUCAUGAAGAAAGCAGUAGCAAAGAAACUGUUACGAUCAUAAUGCUAAGCUAACGGAUGGGUCAUGUCCACCACAUCAUUCUCCUAAUGAUGUGAUCCCAUUCAUCAAAUGACAACACAUGUCUAUGGUUAGGAAAUAUAACCAUCUUUGAUUAACGAGCUAGUCAAGUAGAGGCAUACUAGGGACUAUAUGUUUUGUCUAUGUAUUCACACAUGUACUAAGUUUCCGGUUAAUACAAUUCUAGCAUGAAUAAUAAACAUUUAUCAUGAAUUAAGGAAAUAAACAAUAACUUUAUUAUUGCCUCUAGGGCAUAUUUCCUUCAGUCUCCCACUUGCACUAGAGUCAAUAAUCUAGAUUGCAUAGUAAUGAUUCUAACACCCAUGGAGUCUUGGUGUUGAUCAUGUUUUGGUUGUGGAAGAGGCUUAGUCAAUGGGUCUGCAACAUUCAGAUCCAUGUCUAUCUUUCAAAUCUCUAUGUCCCCUUCCGACACUUGAUGACAGAUGGAAUUGAAGCGUCUCUUGAUGCGUUUGGUUCUCUUGUGAAAUCUGGAUUCCUUUGCCAAGGCAAUUGCACCAGUAUUGUCACAAAAGAUUUUUAUUGGAACCGAUGCACUAGGUAUGACACCUAGGUCGGAUAUGAACUCCUCCAUCCAAACUCCUUCAUUUGCUGCUUCCGAAGCAGCAAUGUACUCUGCUUCACACGUAGAUCCCGCCACGACGCUCUGCUUGGAACUGCACCAACUGACAACUCCUCCGUUCAAUAAAAAUACGUAUUCGGUUUGUGACUUAGAGUCAUCCGGAUCAGUGUCAAAUCUUGCAUCGACGUAACCGUUUACGACAAGCUCUUUUUCACCUCCAUAAACGAGAAACAUAUCCUUAGUCCUUUUCAGGUAUUUCAGGAUGUUCUUGACCGCUGUCCAGUGCUUCCCUCUGGGAUUACUUUGGUACCUCCUUGCUAUGCUUAUAGCAAGACAUACAUCAGGUCUGGUACACAACAUUGCAUACAUGAUAGAACCUAUGACUGAAGCAUAGGGAAUGACUUUCAUUUUCUCUCUAUCUUCUGUAGUGGCCGGGCAUUGAGUCCGAUUCAACUUCACACCUUGUAACACAGGCAAGAACCCUUUCUUUGACAGAUCCAUUUUGAACUUCUUCAAAACUUUAUCAAGGUAUCACUACUAGGAAAACCCUUACCAGUAGCGCUGUUUUUUUGCUAUUAGUAGCGCGGGUAGGUGCGCUACUGCUACGGUGAUACAGCUAUUUUAUAGCAGUAGCGCUUGUUUUGACCCGCACUACUGGUAAAUGAGCGCUGCUGGUAAUAUUUUGGCCCGCGCCACUGCUAAAGUUUAUGUUUUUUUUUUCAUAUUUUGGCGCUGUACAUGUUUAAAUAGAUAUAUCUUUUAUACAAUAACAACUCAUCAUGAACUAGUCUUUUAAAUAGCAUAUUCAUUACUACUAGUCAUCACCACCAAACAAUGUUCGUCAAUGAGACAUCAUAUAUAUAACAAGUUGGUCACUAGUCAUAAUCACAACUCCUCAUCCUCCUCAUCAACUCUAGCUAACACAUUGUAGCACAUAAUAACACAUUCUACCUAGGACCUACUUUACCCUCUCUUAGGUAAAAUAUCAUAAAACAAGAUAGGCAUUGACUCUUUAUUAAGGAAACUGGACUCUCCAUAAUGAAGAACGGAGAUCAUCCUGUCUCCCAGUCUUGGCCUACGCACAAUGUUGCUUCCAAGUAGCUCUCUACGAUGGUCGAAACAUUUUUUCCAAUCAUUUAUUAUCAUGGCUUCCUCGCUUUUAGAAAUCCGGUAUGGACAUGAGUGAUGUGGAUACUGCGGCUGACCUGGCCGUGGUGGCCAUCAUCUCAUGACAUCAGCGCGACCUCUUGGCAACAUCAGAUAAGGCACACAAUCCAUCGGGAUUUUCUGUUAAAAAACAUAGUAAUUACUUUGUAGUUAGCAAUGUAGUUUAGUUUUAGAAAAAAUUAUGCAAAAGAUGCACGAAUGUCGUAAUAGUAGAAAAUCUUACCAUGCUAUCUCCAUUGAUGUUACCGUAGCACACCGUGUGCACUAGUGGCACAUAUUGACCAUAAUUUUGAGGAAUUCGAUAAUAGCUAUUGUAAUUCUCAAGAUCAGUAAAAAAUGCGAUAAGACCAUCUUUCUCCUUAUAAGUUAAUUGUGCUUCAUCAUUGUAGUAGUAGGUUCUGUCUACCAUCUUCCGUACAUUUUUUGAAACCUAUCAAAUACUUUGAAAUAAACAAUAUAAAUUACUUAAUAAAUAUGUUUGAUAAACUCACACAGCGGUAGAACUGGAAGCGUGUCAACAAGGACCCAAAUGGUCAUAUUCUUUUCGUCGAUGUCAGGAUCACCAAGAUCGAAGGUGACAAGCAUACCCUCAUGAAAAUCAUACGCCUUGCAAAGGGCUUCCCAAUUUAGGCAACCAAAAUUGGAUGAGUUCACAGAAUUGUAUAGUUUUACAGCAAAAUCAUAACCAUGAUGGGUCCUUAGUUGAAUUAUCUUUGUCUCCAUGCUUUCAUGAUCUUCAAAACCCAUCUUCUCCAAGACAUAGCGUCUUGCAUGGCAUGGGAUAAGCUAGUCGAAUUGUAAAAGACGGAAAUUACACGUUGAAGAAGCAGAGAAGUCGUGCAAAAAUAACAAAAAACACUUGUCAUCGUUGCGUACCGUAUCAACAUCGAAGGUCUCUUGGAGCUUGAUGCUGAAGCGCCGACCUUCCACCAGGUGAGGCAUGUCGCACAGACCGCGCUCAUCUUCGCAGUAAUCGCACAUAUCGAAUUCCCUUUCGUCGUCAGACAUUUCCUAAUAGGUAAUUAAUAAUCCAUCAUCGAAUACAUAUAUAAUAGUUUGUAGCAAAGAUCAUCAUAUAACAACUAGAAGACCUAAAAUUUGUAGUUUGUAGUACUUUGUAGAAAAGAUCAUCAUCGAACCUAGUUUGUAGCAAAUAUCAUCAUAUAAUCCAUCAUCGAAUACAUAUAUAGUAGUUUGUAGCACAAACCACGCUCAUCUUUUGCAUUCAAUAAGCAAAUAACUAAUAGGUAAUUAAUAAUCCAUCAUCGAAUACAUAUAUAGUAGUUUGUAGCAAAGAUCAUCAUAUAAUAUCACUAAUACAUCUCGAAUAAUAGCUCCUCUAGGUUCAGUGGGCCGCGAUGGACACCCAAAGAGAAGGAACCAUCACAGGAUCAUAGCUCCGGUGAGGUCCCCAAAGAAUCUGCCAGGUAUUCGAGAACCUGCCGUUCUCCAACGAAACCAAGUAGCGGUGGAUGUGCGUGUUCUCUGUGACACGGUGCUGUACCACCUGCGCGGGGGAAUCAAGCCUCUGCACCGAUGCAGGCCCACGUGACCGCCACCAAAGAAGCCCCGGGUUGACGACGGGCUGGCUCCUCACUAAGCUGCGCUCACUAGAAGGUAGCACAACCCAGUACCAGCCCGGCGGAGCCCAGUCCCGGAAAUGGCCCCUCAGCUCAAGCAGGAGUCCUCCGCCGAGUCGACGACAAGGAUGCGGGAUAGGCAUCAUCGUCGUCGAUAACAAAAUGCUUAAUCAUGAAACAAAAUUAAUAAACACUUAGCAAAAUUCGGCAUGACCUUUGCUAAAAGCAGGACAUAUUGAGCGCCUAAAAUUUGCCAGAAUGUAAAUGAAUUGACAUUUCUGGCAAAACAUAGGCCACUCGGAAAAAUAUGACAUGUCCAAAAUGUGACAUGUUCAAAAUAUGACAUGUCCACUACAUAUUUGCAUAUAAUAGGAAAAAUUGCUUUAACUAAAAAAUAACAACAAUUGCUUUAACUAAAAAAAUACCUAGAAUUCUGUUAACUACACCUAAAACAACUAAAACACCUAAAAUUUUGUUAACUACACCGAAAACAACUAUAACACCUAAAAUUCUGUUAAAUACACCUAAAACACCUAAAUUCUAUUAACUACACCUAAUUAAAAACCUAGCUAAUUUUCUGUCCUAACUUUAAAACCUAGCUAAAUUUAAAAACCUAGGGUUCAUACAAAUUAACUAGGGUUCAUACCUAAUCUGUCCUAGCUAGGUUUCGAUCAUAACCUACAUUAUUCUAAAAACCUACAUUUUUUCAACUAUAUAGGAUUCAAAAUAACUACUCACUAAUAACUAUAACUAGGGAGGGNNNNNNNNNNNNNNNNNNNNNNNNNNNNNNNNNNNNNNNNNNNNNNNNNNNNNNNNNNNNNNNNNNNNNNNNNNNNNNNNNNNNNNNNNNNNNNNNNNNNNNNNNNNNNNNNNNNNNNNNNNNNNNNNNNNNNNNNNNNNNNNNNNNNNNNNNNNNNNNNNNNNNNNNNNNNNNNNNNNNNNNNNNNNNNNNNNNNNNNNNNNNNNNNNNNNNNNNNNNNNNNNNNNNNNNNNNNNNNNNNNNNNNNNNNNNNNNNNNNNNNNNNNNNNNNNNNNNNNNNNNNNNNNNNNNNNNNNNNNNNNNNNNNNNNNNNNNNNNNNNNNNNNNNNNNNNNNNNNNNNNNNNNNNNNNNNNNNNGGGAAGGGCGACCGAUGGGGGAAGAGGGCCCACACAAGGGAGGGCGGCCGGAUCGGGGGAUUGAGGGAUUCGAUCUGUGAGUGUGAGUGAGUGAGAGGGGAGGGGCGCGUGGGGGAAGCAGAGGUGGGCUUAGCGGCAGCGCGGGGAAGGAGGCCCAGCACUAUAGCUAAAGCUGCAACAGUGGGCUGAGAGCGUGGCCCAUCAACAACAACGCUGGACAGGAUAUCCCGUGCUACUGCUAACCCUUACUUGCAGCACUGGUGUUGUCAGGCGCUACUGCUAAAUAGCAGUAGCGCGGGGUCUUUAGCCAACGCUACUGCUAAAUGUCUACCUAUAAGCAUUUUCCUAGUAGUGUAUGUGCUUUGUGAAAGUCCAAUUAAGUGUCUUGAUCUAUCCCUAUAGAUCUUGAUGCCCAAUAUGUAAGCAGCUUCACCAGGGUCUUUCAUGGAAAAACUCUUAUUCAGGUAUCCUUUAUGCUAUCCAGAAAUUCUAUAUCAUUUCCAAUCAACAAUAUGUUAUCCACAUAUAAUAUCAGAAAUGCUACAGAGCUCCCACUCACUUUCUUGUAAAUACAGGCUUCUCCAAAAGUCUAUAUAAAACCAUAUGCUUUGAUCACACUCAAAGCGUUUAUUCCAACUCUGAGAGGCUUGCACCAGUCCAUAAAUGGAUCGCUGGAGCUUGCACACUUUGUUAGCACCCUUUGGAUUGAAAAAACCUUCUGGUUGCAUGAUAUACAACUCUUCUUCCAGAAAUCCAUUCAUGAAUGCAGUUUUGACAUCCAUUUGCCAAAUUUCAUAAUCAUAAAAUGCAGCAAUUGCUAACAUGAUUCGGACAGACUUAAGCAUCACUACGGGUGAGAAAGUCUCAUCGUAGUCAACUCCUUGAACUUGUCGAAAACUUUUCGCAACAAGUUGAGCUUUGUAAAUGGUAACAUUACCGUCUGCGUUGGUCUUCUUCUUAAAGAUCCAUUUAUUUUCUAUGGCUUGCCGAUCAUCGGGAAAGUCCACCAAAGUCCACACUUUGUUCUCAUACAUGGAUCCCAUCUUAGAUUUCAUGGCUUCAAGCCAUUUCACGGAAUCUGGGCUCAUCAUCGCUUCCUCAUAGUUCGUAGGUUCAUCAUGGUCUAGUAACAUGACUUCCAGAACAGGUUUAUCAUACCACUCUGGUGCGGAUCUUAUUCUGGAAGACCUACGAGGUUCGAUCAGAAGCUUCAUGAUCAUCAUCAUUAGCUUCCUCACUAAUUGGUGUAGGAAUCAUGGGAACUGAUUUUUGUGAUGAACUACUUUCCAAUAAGGGAGAAGGUACAAAUACCUCAUCAAGUUCUACUUUCCUCCCACUCACUUCUUUCGAGAGAAACUCCUUCUCUAGAAAUGAUCCAUUCUUAACAACAAAGAUUUUGCCUUCGGAUCUAUGAUAGAAGGUGUACCCAACAGUUUCCUUUGGGUAUCCUAUGAAGACACACUUCUCCGAUUUGGGUUUGAGCUUAUCAGGUUGAAGCUUUUUCAUAUAAGCAUUGCAGCCCCAAACUUUAAGAAACGACAACUUUGGUUUCUUGCCAAACCAUAGUUCAUAAGGCGUCGUCUCAACGGAUUUUGAUGGUGUCCUAUUUAAAGUGAAUGCAGCCGUCUCUAAAGCAUAACCCCAAAACGAUAGCGGAAAUCAGUAAGAGACAUCAUAGAUCGCACCAUAUCCAAUAAAGUACGGUUACGACGUUCAGACACACCAUUUCACUGUGGUGUUCCAGGUGGCGUUAAUUGUGAAACUAUCCCAUGCUGUUUCAAAUGAAGACCAAACUCAUAGCUCAAAUAUUCUCCUUCACUAUCAGAUCGUAGAAACUUUAUUUUCUUGUUACGAUAAUUUUCCACUUCACUCUGAAAUUCUUUCAACUUUUCAAAUGUUUCAGACUUAUGCUUCAUUAAGUAGAUAUAACCAUAUCUGCUCAAAUCAUCUGUGAAGGUAAGAAAAUAACGAUACCCACCACGAGCCUCAAUACUCAUUGGACCGCAUACAUCUGUAUGUAUUAUUUCCAACAAGUCAGUAGCUCGUUCCAUUGUUCCGAAGAACGGAGUUUUAGUCAUCUUGCCCAUAAGGCACUGCUCGCAAGCACCAAGUGAUUCAUAAUCAAGUGAUUCCAAAAGUCUAUCAGCAUGGAGUUUCUUCAUGCGCUUUACACCGACAUGACCCAAACGAUAGUGCCACAAAUAAGUUGCACUAUCAUUAUUAUCUUUGCAUCUUUUGGCUUCAAUACUAUGAAUAUGUGUAUCGAGAUUCAACAAAAAUAGACCACUCAACAAGGGUGCAUGACCAUAAAAGAUAUUACUCAUAUAAAUAGAACAACCAUUAUUCUCCGAUUUAAAUGAAUAACCGUCUCGCAUCAAACAAGAUCCAGAUAUAAUGUUCAUGCUCAACGCUGGCACCAAAUAACAAUUAUUUAGGUCUAAAACUAAUCCUGAAGGUAGAGGUAGAGGUAGCGUGCCAACUGCGAUCACAUCGACUUUGGAACCAUUUCCCACGCGCAUCGUCACCUCGUCCUUAGCCAAUCUUCACUUAAUCUGUAGCCCCUGUUUCGAGUUGCAAAUAUGAGCAACAGAACCAGUAUCAAAUACCCAGGCGCUACUACGAGCAUUAGUUAAGUACACAUCAAUAACAAGUAUAUCAAAUAUACCUUUCACUUUGCCAUCCUUCUUAUCCGCCAAAUACUUGGGGCAGUUCCACUUCCAGUGACCAAGCACUCAGUUUUAGGCUUAGGUACAGGCUUGGGUUUCUUCUCUUGAGCAGCAACCUUUUUGCCGUUCUUCUUGAAGUUCCCCUUCUGCCCUUUGCCCUUUUUCUUGAAACUAGUGGUCUUGUUGACCAUCAACACUUGAUGCUCCUUUUUGAUUCUACCCUCGCAGCCUUUAGCAUUGCGAAGAGCUCGGGAAUAGUCUUGUUCAUCCCUUGCAUAUUAUAGUUCAUCACGAAGCUUUUGUAGCUUGGUGACAGUGAUUGAAGAACUCUGUCAAUGACACUAUCAUUAGGAAGAUUAACCCCCAGUUGAGUCAAGUGGUUAUGGUACCCAGACAUUCUGAGUAUGUGUUCACUGACAGAACUAUUCUCCUCCAUUUUACAGUUGUAGAACUUAUUGGAGACUUCAUAUCUCUCAAUCCGGGCAUUUUCUUGAAAUAUUAACUUCAACUCCUAGAAAAUCUCAUAUGCUCCAUGACGUUCAAAACGUCGUUGAAGUCCCUCUUCUAAGCCGUAAAGCAUGGCACACUGAACUAUCGAGUAGUCAUCAGCUUUGCUCUGCUAGAUGUUCUUAACGUCAUUAGUAGCAUCUGCAGCAGGCCUCGCACCCAACGGUGCUUCCAGGACAUAAUUUUUCGGUGCAGCAAUGAGGAUAAUCCUCAAGUUACGGACCCAGUCCGUGUAGUUGCUGUCACCAUCUUUCAACUUAGCUUUCUCUAGGAACACAUUAAAAUUCAAAGGAACGGUAGCACUGUCAUUUGAUCUACAACAAUAUAGAGAUGCAAAAUACUAUCAGGUACUAAGUUCAUGAUAAAUUAAAGUUCAAUUAAUCAUAUUACUUAAGAACUCCUACUUAGAUAGACAUCCCUCUAAUCAUCUAAGUGAUCACGUGAUUCAAAUCAACUAAACCAUGUCUGAUCAUCACGUGAGAUGGAGUAGUUUUCAAUGGUGAACAUCACUAUGUUGAUCAUAUCUACUAUAUGAUUCACGUUCGACCUUUCGGUCUUAGUGUUCCGAGGCCAUAUCUGCAUAUGCUAGGCUCGUCAAGUUUAACCUGAGUAUUCUGCGUGUGCAAAACUGGCUUGCACCCGUUGUAUGUGAACGUAGAGCUUAUCACACCCGAGCAUCACAUGGUGUCUCGGCACUACGAACUGUAGCAAUGGUGCAUACUCAGGGAGAACACUUAUACAUUGAAAUUUAGUAAGGGAUCAUCUUAUAAUGUUACCGCCAUACUAAGCAAAAUAAGAUGCAUAAAAGAUAAAUCACAUGCAAUCAAAAUAUGUGACAUGAUAUGGCCAUCAUCAUCUUGUGCUUAUGAUCUCCAUCACCGAAGCAUCGUCAUGAUCUCCAUCGUCACCGGCGCGACACCUUGAUCUCCAUCAUAGCAUCAUUGUCGUCUCGCCAAGUAUUGUUACUACGACUAUCGCCACCGCUUAGUGAUAAAGUAAAACAAUUAUAUGGCGAUUGCAUUGCAUACAAUAAAGCGACAACCAUAUGGCUCCUGCCAGUUGCCGAUAACUUUGUUACAAAAACAUGAUCAUCUCAUACAACAAUUUAUAUCACAUCAUGCCUUGACCAUAUCACAUCACAGCAAGCCCUGCAAAAACAAGUUAGACGUCCUCUACUUUGUUGUUGCAAGUUUUACGUGGCUGCUAUGGGCUUCUAGUAAGAACCGUUCUUACCUAGGCAUCAAAACCACAACGAUUUUUAGUCAAGUGUACUGUUUUAACCUUCAACAAGGACCGAGCAUAGCCACACUCGAUUCAACUGAAGUUGGAGAAACAGACACUCACUAGCCACCUGUGUGCGAAGCACGUCGGUAGAACCAGUAUUGCGUAAGCGUAUGCGUAAUGUCGGUCUGAGCCGCUUCAUCCAAUAAUACUGCCAAAUCAAAGUAUGACAUGCUGAUAAGCAGUAUGACUAUUAUCGCCCACAACUCUUUGUGUUCUGCUCGUGCAUAUAACAUCUACGCAUAGAUCUGGCUCGGAUGCCACUGUUUGGGAACGCAUCAAUUUCAAAAAAUUUCCUACGAUCACGCAAGAUCUAUCUAGGUGAUGCAUAGCAAAGAGAGGGGAGAGUGUUGUCUACGUACCCUCAUAGACUGAAAGCGGAAGCAUUAUGAAAACACGGUUGAUGUAGUCGUACGUCUUCACGAUCCGACCGAUCCUAGCACCGAAGGUAUGACACCUCCGCAAUCUGCACACGUUCAGCUCGGUGACGUCCCACAAACUCUAGGUCCAGCUGAGGUCGAGGGAGAGUUUCGUCAGCAUGAUGGUGUGUUGACAGUGAUGAUGAAGUUAUCGGCGCAAGGCUUCUCCUAAGCACUACGAUGAUAUGACCGAGGUGGAAAUCUAUGGAGGGGGGCACCGCACACGACUGAAAGAUCAACUUGAUCAACUUGUGUCUCUAUGGGGUGCCCCCUCCCCCAUAUAUAAAGGAGUGGAGGAGGGGAGGGCCGACCCUCUAUGGCGCUCCCAAGGGGGGAGUCCUACUCCCAGUAGGAGUAGGUUUCCCCCCUUCCCUAGUUGGAGUAGGAUAAGAAGGAAGAGGAAGAGGGAGAGAAGGAAAGGGGGGCCGGCCCCCCUCCCAAUUUGGAUUGGGCAGGGGGGCCCACCUUGGCCUCCUCCUCCUCUCUUCCACCGUGGCCCAUUAAGGCCCAUUGACUCCCCGGGGGGUUCGAGUAACCUCCCAGUACUCCGGAAAAAUGCCCGAACCACUCGGAACCUUUCCGGUGUCCAAACAUAGCCUUCCAAUAUACCAAUCUUUAUGUCUCGACCAUUUCGAGACUCCUCGUCAUGUCCGUGAUCACAUCCGGGACUCCGAUCAACCUUCGAUACAUCAAAACACAUAAACUCAUAAUACCGAUCAUCAUCAAACGUUAAGCGUGCGGACCCUAUGGGUUCGAGAACUAUGUAGACAUGACCGAGACUCACUUCUGGUCAACAACCAAUAGCGGAAACUAGAUACUCAUAUUGGUUCCUACAUAUUCUAUGAAGAUCUUUAUCGGUCAAACCGCAUAACAACAUAUGUUGUUCCCUUUGUCAUCGGUAUGUUACUUGCCCGAGAUUCGAUCGUCGGUAUCAUCAUACCUAUUUCAAUCUCGUUACCGGUAAGUCUCUUUACUCGUUCCAUAAUACUUCAUCCCAAAAAUAACUCAUUAGUUACAAUGCUUUCAAGGCUUAUAGUGAUGAGUAUUACCGAGAGGGCCCAGAGAUACCUCUCGGAAACACGGAGUGACAAAUCCUAAUCUUGAUCUAUGCCAACCCAAUAAACACCUUCGAAGACACCUGUAGAGCACCUUUAUAAUCAUCCAUUUACGUUGUGACGUUUGGUAGCACACAAAGUGUUCCUCUGGUAUUCGGGAGUUGCAUAAUCUCAUAUAUGAGGAACUUGUAUAAGUCAUGAAGAAAGCAGUAGCAAAGAAACUGUUACAAUCAUAAUGCUAAGCUAACGGAUGGGUCAUGUCCAUCACAUCAUUCUCUUAAUGAUGUGAUCUCGUUCAUCAAAUGACAACACAUGUCUAUGUUUAGGAAACAUAACCAUCUUUGAUUAAUGAGCUAGUCAAGUAGAGGCAUACUAGGGACUAUAUGUUUUGUCUAUGUAUUCACACAUGUACUAAGUUUUCGGUUAAUACAAUUCUAGCAUGAAUAAUAAAAAUUUAUCAUGAAUUAAGGAAAUAAAUAAUAACUUUAUUAUUGCCUCUAGGGCAUAUUUCCUUCAGCUCGGGUAUUGAAAAUCUAGAGGUGAAGAAUAAGUGCUUACUUAGCAAAUGGGUUUAUCGGUUGGCGGUAGAGAGGGACGGGGUUUGGAUUCAGCUGCUGCAUAAUAAAUAUUUACAUUCUAAAACACUGGCUCAAGUGACGGCACAACCAUCCGACUCUCCUUUUUGGAAGGGGCUUAUGAGGGCAAAGGUUGCCUUCUUUAACAUGAGCAAAUUCAUUGUAGGGAAUGGACAGGGUACUAGGUUUUGGGAGGACACCUGGUUGGGUGAGAUUCCAUUAGCCUUGCUGUAUCCCUCCCUAUAUAACAUUGUAAAGUGGAAAGAGGUUUUUGUUGGUACAGUGUUGGGAUUUGUUCAUCUGAACAUUCAGUUUUGACGGUCUUUAUUGGUUGAUUGAUGGGAUAGAUGGCAGCAUCUCGUGCGUAGGUUAAUGAAGAUUAACCUUUCUGAUGUAGCAGACUCCUAACAUUGGAAGUUGUCUGCGUCAGGAGUAUUCUCGGUUAAAUAUAUGUAUAUGGAUUUGAUUAACACCGGGCCUGUCCCAAGGACGAUACAUAUUUGUUAAGUUAAAGUGCAUGAGGGAGUAAUUUUGACAAAAUAUAACUUGGCCAAGUGUAGUUGGGAAGUGAGCAAAAGAUGCUACUUCUGUGAUCAGGAUGAAACAAUAGAACAUCUUUUUAUCCAAUGCCCACUUGCCAAGUUACCGUCGAGAACUAUUCACGCUGCUUUUAAAGUUGUUUCGCCAGUCUCAAUCUCGCAUUUAUUUGGGACCUGGUUAACUGAGAUAGAGCCUAAGACCACGGGGCAUAUUUGAAUUGGAGUAUGUGCAUUACUUGGGGCCAUAUGGAAUUAUCGGAAUGAACCAUCAUUAUUUUUUGCAGGUUAUCUUCAGGGCGUCUAUUGGAUCCGUAUAUGGUCAUUACUCAGCCAUGUCCCACAAGGAGCAUAUUGAUAUUGGGUUCAACGGAUGGGAGAUACUCGCACGGAAUACUUACAACCGGUUUGGAUGGCGGUCCAAUAAUAGGAUAGAUAUUUAGUCAUCUUUUCCUAUUUUUCGCUGGUUGUGGCAAAUUUAUUUUUUGGAGUUGCCGUACUACAGUUUAAGAUUCCUUUUAAAAAAAAUGAUGGGGUGAUGCUUGAAUAUGCAUUUUGAAAACCUACACACUUGGCUGUUCACCAUUUAUCAAGUUAUAGCUCAGUCGAUGCUUCAUUAGUUUUUCUUCAUGGAUCACGUUUCAUGGAACAGAUCAUCAGUGACGCCAUUUAACUAGUAUAAGAUAUCCCCUCUUUCCCAAAGGCAGCCGCAUAUGGAGAAGAGACAUUUGUGACAUGCACAAGCCAUUCAUGCAUCUAGUGUUGAACUCGAAAGGAGCAGCGAAGGUAGACGCAAGUAUAAUAUAAAGCGGGACAGAUGUACGAAUCCACUGUAAAGCGUAAACUGAAAGCAGAUCAGAGAAGUGGAGAACCUUGCAAAGAGGCUGAAAACUACGGCGCGAUGCAAACCCGAGAAGGAACAGAGCAAUCAACAUCGUACUGUAACGUGAAAGACCCGGCGCAUCAGUCAAGAACAUACUAAUAACCUAGCUAUAUCACCAUUUUAUGCCAGAUUUUAGUGCAUAAUUUUGGCAAGUAGAUCGUAAGUCAAGAUUUGAAUUCGGGUUAGGUAUGUAGCCCUUUCAGAAUGAUCCGAAGAAUAUGAUUCGAUAGAAAAGCAAAUCCAUUUCCUUGGCAGGACUUUUUAUCCCCUUGUCUUGAUUGAGUGCAUGAUUGAGGUGCGGUCACGCUCAGGGCACCUCGCGCUGGAUGGAGCUGCGGGGGCAUGUCCCAUCCUAGGAAAAGAAAUGCACGCUUGCCCAACACACUUCAUUUAGUCCGAAACCUCUGAGGUUUAAUCACUCUCGCUGUGUCUUGCACCAACCCUAACCAUGCAGGAUUAGGCACGCUGUCCUUGUCUCUAUUCUUUCUCCUGGGUAUAUAAAUGGCCCCUUUCAUCGCCUAAGGUUCUGUACUUGGCCUCAUCAGUGGUUCUUGCUGGAAGCAAAAGUUGAGUGAUCAUGGGCGCCUUGGAUCAUCUGUCCCGUCUGUGUAACUUCACACAUACAAGGGAAGCCAUCAGGAUCAAGAAAAGGCGGCCACUGACGGUGAGGAUUGUGGAAUUCAAGCACGUUUGUGUUCUAUUUUUUUGGUGUAGGUUUGUUCAUCGAUCGGAAGCAGCUCCAUCUUCCGAAGAUGGCCUUCUGAUCUUGUGAAGGGAUCAAUGUAUUUUUUUUUUUGCACUUUUUUUGUCAUUUUGUUAAUUGAGCUGCCACAAACGUGUGAUUAACUGGAGUUUCAUUUAACUAUCUAUCUAUCUAUCUAUCUAUCUAUCUACAGACGGUGAACAUCAAGGUGAAGAUGGACUGUGAUGGCUGCGAGAGGAGGGUCAAGAACGCCGUCAAAUCGAUUCGGGGUACAUAUACACAUACUGACCGAUAUCGAUCUGAAACGUCAAACCAAGCGAUCUAAUUCUUUUCUUUUGAAAAUAUUUUUUUUAUUUUGAGGAUAGAAAAUAUAACAUUUAGUUCAUAUAUUUAUUUGGUGAACGUUCAUAUGCAUAUGCCAAAGGUGUAACGACGGUGGUGGUGAAUCGCAAGAUCAACAAGGUGACGGUGACGGGGUAUGUGGAGCCUCGCAAGGUGCUGGCGAGGGUGAAGAGAACUGGGAAGACGACGGCGGAUAUGUGGCCGUACGUGCCCUACACGGUGGCCACCUACCCCUACGUCGGCGGCUCCUACGACAAGAAGGCGCCGGCGGGCCUGGUCCGCAACGUGCCGCAGGCCAUGGCCGACCCGGCCGCGCCGGAGGUCAAGUACAUGAACAUGUUCAACGACGAGGACGUUACCGCUUGCACCGUCAUGUGAUUCGAUCAUAUCAUAUUAGCAUCUGCACUCCGGCCAUCUGCACCCAGCCACGACGACAUGCCGAGAUUACUACUGUAGAUAUAUCGGUGUUCUCGCAGCGCUGGGGAAGAAUGAUACCAAGAAGAUGAGCUUGUGCAUGUACGGUACUGAUGGAUGAUGUACUCCAAAUUAAGAGCCAUAAUUCGGAACGAUGCCCAUGCUCAUCUACUACACCUGGGUGAACAGUCAAUUAAAAAUAAUAAUAGUAAAUUCAAAAAACAUCUACUUCUUUUAGAAAUCCAAGAUGCUCAUGUGCGCGGAAAAUUUCGGGGUGUUCGGACAUUUGAUGAGCGAACAAAAAAAAAA
rnacentral:lncRNA from 1 species